UUCUCACUGAAGCUACCACUCGUGCAAUUUUGAUUGGUGAUUGUGACUUAGUCCUCCUCGUGAUCUACGGCAAGAAAGUUGAUUGUGGCCAUACCUGUUGGAGUAGUAAAGACAAACGUUCAAAUUGCUCUUCUUGAUGUAACCCCCAAGCUGUAGGCUGCUGUUAUUUUAAGAGGUGGAGACGCAUUAUCUGAAAUGGCUGUUGCAAUGUAUUGAAAUUAAAUUUUAUUAAAAACUCUGGGUUAGUUGAAGUCACUUAUUGUAAAUAGUGAUAUUGUGGUGUUUUAGAGUAGUUUCUCUAAUUUUAUUGAAACGAGCUUUUUCAGUGUUUUGGAAUGUUUAAUAAGGUUCUUGGCACCAUCUGUGUCUUGACUACAAAUUUACUUGUUACUAGAUUAUAAAUAUAUUGGUGUUCUGGGCAGUUUACCUUGUUUGAGCAACAAGGUGAUGCAAGGCAGUUUUUUUCCCAACUU